UAUUUGAAACUGCAAGU
rnacentral:sRNA from 1 species